rnacentral:rRNA from 1 species
AUGGCCAAGCAAAAGGCCUCGCUUCCGGUGAUCCGCCGCCGCAUAGGCGGUGUCGGUUUGUUGCGCUGGGCGGUGCGGGUCGCCUCCAGCAUAGUGCUCUGGACGGCGCUCCUCCAGCUCUCCACCUUCUUCGGUCUACCCCUCUCGCCGCUCCGCGCCGCCCGCCCGUCCUGCAUAGGGAACCGCAAUGCCUCUGCAACCGCCUCCGCCGUAACCGCCGUCGCCUCCGACGAUGUAGGGGACCUUGCACCCCCAGCUCUACCUACCAGGAGAUCUUACAGAAGUAACGGUUAUCUUCUUGUUUCAUGCAAUGGCGGUCUGAACCAAAUGCGAGCUGCGAUAUGUGACAUGGUAACUGUAGCACGCUAUUUGAAUCUGACCAUGGUUGUACCUGAACUUGAUAAGCAAUCCUUCUGGGCUGAUCCUAGUGAUUUUGGAGAUAUAUUUGAUGUGAAUCAUUUCAUCUAUUCUUUAAGAGAUGAGGUGAAGGUUAUCAGAGAACUCCCACAUAAGUUUAAUGGGAAAGUUCCAUUAUCAAUGCAACCAGUCAGCUGGUCUAGUGAGAAAUACUAUUUGAGACAGAUCUUGCCUCUUGUACGAAAGCACAAGGUUAUACGUUUUAGCAGGACAGAUUCUCGCCUUGCGAACAAUGGCCUUCCUCUGAAGCUCCAAAAGCUUCGCUGCCAUGUUAACUACAAUGCAUUAAGAUUUACACCAUCCAUUGAGGCCCUAGGCAACAAGAUGAUAUCGAGUCUCAGGAAAACUGGAUCUUUUGUUGUGCUUCAUCUGAGAUAUGAGAUGGAUAUGCUCGCCUUCUCUGGCUGUACACACGGAUGUUCUGGUCAAGAAACAGCAGAGCUCACGAGAAUGAGGUAUGCAUAUCCCUGGUGGAAAGAAAAGGAAAUAGACUCUGAGAAGAAAAGGCUCGAGGGCCUCUGCCCGCUUACACCUGGGGAAACAACAUUAGUGCUCAAAGCUCUUGGUAUCCCCAGGGACACUAGGAUAUAUAUUGCCUCUGGUGAAAUCUACGGUGGUGAAAAAAGAUUAGCUGCGUUGAAGGCAGAGUUCCCUAACAUCGUGCGUAAGGAGAUGCUUUUAUCUGAAGAUGAGCUACACCUCUUCCAAAAACACUCGACUCAAAUGGCAGCCCUGGACUAUCUUGUUUCUGUCGCGAGUGAUGUUUUUAUUCCCAGUAAUGAUGGAAACAUGGCUAAAGUUGUGGAAGGACACCGCAGGUUUAUGGGCUUCCACAGGACUAUACAGCUUGAUAGGAAGAAGCUGGUUGAGCUUAUAGAUCUUUUUGAAGACCAGGAGCUGUCAUGGAAUGAAUUCUGUACUGCUGUCAAGGAGCUACAUGAGGGCCGAAUGAGCCAGCCCACGAGAAGAAAAGUCAUCGCAGGGCAGCCUAAGGAAGAGGACUACUUCUAUGCAAAUCCUUAUGAGUGUCUUGGGCCUGCUAGAAAGAGAAGGGAAAAGCUAAAACAUACAGAGACAUAA